UUUCUGCCUCUCUGUUUCUCCACUUCUCUCCUCGGUCCUCACCCCGCAUUCUCUCUCUCUCCUGAUUCCAGAACUUCUUCCCGCUCUCCCUCUCAUCUCAGUCCUCUCUAUUUCUCCGAUUCUCUCCAACAACGACCUCUCUGGUUCGAUCCCUCCUGAGCUCGUCGAUUGCAAGUUUCUCAAUAGUCUUAAACUUGCCAACAAUCGUCUCUCCAGUUCAAUCCCUUAUGAGCUCUCCUGUCUUACUCGUCUCAAGAAGUUCUCGGUUGCUAAUAACCGUCUCUCCGGUACGAUUCUCUGCUUUUCCGAUUUCGAUGCCGCUGGCUUCGACGGCAACAACGGGCUCUGCGGUAGGCCUCUUGGGUCCAACUGUGGUGGUUUGAGCAAGAGGCCAAGUCGUCGCCUUCGCAAGAGGAAGUAUGGGGCUGGAAAGUAUGAAGAUAGUAGUUGGCUAUGGAGUGCUUGAGGGGUCACAAGCUUGCUCAGGUUUCGUUGUUCCAGAAACCCUUUAUGAAGGUCAAGUUGGCGGAACUCUGGGUUUCUGCGUAGUAGAAGAUGAGAGACUUUUAGUUUAUAAACACAUGCCUAACGGAGCAUUCUCUGUUGCACGGUUCUGCCAUUAAAACAUCGAGCACAGUUCAUUGGAUUGGCGAACGAGGCUUAAGAUGGGCAGGGUGUGGUUCUCUCUCGCACACCCUGUGUCAGAAUCAUUCUCUUCCCAUUUGAAGAAUCUGCUGGCCCGUUGGCUAUUUCUUCUCAACUCCUCCUCCAGAUUUCUCCCUCUCUGUCUCAAGGUUUGCCUAGGAAGUUUUAUGCUGGCGAAAGUAGUUUGGGGAGCAAAUGCAUCAAACCUUAGCACCAAGAAAUUAUCUACGAUCAUAAACUUUUUUUGCACUCAUUUACAAUUCACUGCUAUCUGAAUUGAAUACUUUGUUUAUUUUUAUUGACAACUCAGACAAUUAAUUUCUGUCUUGUUAUUCAAACAAUACAAAUCAUAUUUUGCUUUUGCAGUUCAAGCAUAA